rnacentral:rRNA from 1 species
AUUGAACGCUGGCGGCAGGCCUAACACAUGCAAGUCGAGCGGAUGAAGGGAGCUUGCUCCUGGAUUCAGCGGCGGACGGGUGAGUAAUGCCUAAGAAUCUGCCUGGUAGUGGGGGAUAACGUCCGGAAACGGGCGCUGAUACCGCAUACGUCCUGAGGGAGAAAGUGGGGGAUCUUCGGACCUCACGCUAUCAGAUGAGCCUAGGUCGGAUUAGCUAGUUGGUGGGGUAAAGGCCUACCAAGGCGACGAUCCGUAACUGGUCUGAGAGGAUGAUCAGUCACACUGGAACUGAGACACGGUCCAGACUCCUACGGGAGGCAGCAGUGGGGAAUAUUGGACAAUGGGCGAAAGCCUGAUCCAGCCAUGCCGCGUGUGUGAAGAAGGUCUUCGGAUUGUAAAGCACUUUAAGUUGGGAGGAAGGGCAGUAAGUUAAUACCUUGCUGUUUUGACGUUACCAACAGAAUAAGCACCGGCUAACUUCGUG